CGAAAGGGUGACGAAGCGACGCCGCGUGUGGGAAGAAGGCCUUCGGGUUGUAAACCACUGUCAGGAGUUAAGAAGUGUAAGGGUGCUAAUAGUAUCCUUACUUGACUAAGGCUCCAGAGGAAGCCACGGCUAACUCUGUGCCAGCAGCCGCGGUAAUACAGAGGUGGCAAGCGUUGUUCGGAAUUAUUGGGCGUAAAGAGCACGUAGGCGGUUCUGCAAGUCGGCUGUGAAAGCCUUCCGCUCAACGGAAGAACAGCAGUUGAUACUACAGGACUCGAGUGCGGGAGGGGAGAGUGGAACUUCUGGUGGAGCGGUGAAAUGCGUAGAUAUCAGAAGGAACGCCGGCGGCGAAAGCGACUCUCUGGCCCGUAACUGACGCUGAGUGUGCGAAAGCUAGGGGAGCAAACGGGAUUAGAUACCCCGGUAGUCCUAGCCGU
rnacentral:rRNA from 1 species